AGUGUCUUAUGAUGACCAGUUCAUGCACCACACAGAAUGUUAUGUGUUGAUUAUGAACUUCUGAAGACUG